UACGAAGGGGGCUAGCGUUGUUCGGAAUUACUGGGCGUAAAGCGCGUGUAGGCGGGUCUUUAAGUCAGGGGUGAAAUGCCAAGGCUCAACCUUGGAACUGCCUUUGAUACUGGAGACCUUGAGUCCGGGAGAGGUGAGUGGAAUUGCGAGUGUAGAGGUGAAAUUCGUAGAUAUUCGCAAGAACACCAGUGGCGAAGGCGGCUUACUGGACCACUUCUGACGCUGAGACACGAAAGCGUGGGUAGCAAACAG
rnacentral:rRNA from 1 species